rnacentral:rRNA from 1 species
AACAGAGCAAACAUAUAUGUUCACAUAAGCAAACAUAUCAUAAUAAUCAUGCAUGAAUAAGCUUAAACCUAAUUAUAUUUAUGUAUCGAUGGCUUAUGGAGAUCUAACAAGUUUUAAUGGCUUUACACAGGGUCUUACUAGUGUUCUAUUAGUGAUGGGACCACCAAAAAGGUCUUAACGCUUACCUCAGCUCACGACCAUACUUUCAGGCUGACCAACGUCUAAACCAGAAAUUAAUCGGUUCCUUCAAACACUCAGACAAGACACUGUUACCCCAUACUUGGAUUAAAACCCCAUUAUAAGACAGGAUAUAUAAACACAAUUAUACUCUAAGGAAAUUCAUACGAGAUUAAAAUAAUAUGUUCUUAUAAGAACAUAGUUUAGCCCAUGCUCUAGACAGAUUAUGUGUUUAGCUGCUCAUGCUAAGCACACAAUCUGCCAACAUGGCUCUGAUACCAAGGAUGAAAUUCUUGGAUUUAUGAAAGACGAACAACUGCAAAAGCAUUUGCCAAGGAUGUUUUCAUUAAUCAAGAACAAAAGUUGGGGGCUCAAAGGCGAUCAGAUACCAUCCUAGUCUCAACUAUAAACAAUGCCGACCAGGGAUCAGCGGAUGUUGCUUUUAGGACUCCACCGGCACCUUAUGAGAAAUCAAAGUUUUUGGGUUCCGGGGGGAGUAUGGUCGCAAGGCUGAAACUUAAAGGAAUUGACGGAAGGGCACCACCAGGAGUGGAGCCUGCGGCUUAAUUUGACUCAACACAGGGAAACUUACCAGGUCCAGACAUAGUAAGGAUUGACAGACUGAGAGCUCUUUCUUGAUUCUAUGGGUGGUGGUGCAUGGCCGUUCUUAGUUGGUGGAGCGAUUUGUCUGGUUAAUUCCGUUAACGAACGAGACCUCAGCCUGCUAACUAGCUAUGCGGAGGUAUCCCUUCGCGGCCAGCUUCUUAGAGGGACUACGGCCUUUUAGGCCGCAGAAGUUUGAGGCAAUAACAGGUCUGUGAUGCCCUUAGAUGUUCUGGGCCACACGCGCACUACACUGAUGUAUUCAACGAGCUAUAGCCUUGGCUGACAGGAUCGGGUAAUCUUUGAAAUUUCAUCGUGAUGGGUAUAGAUCAUUGAAAUUGUUGGUCUUCAACGAGGAAUUCCUAUUAAGUGCGAGUCAUCAGCUAGCGUUGACUACGUCUCGGCCCAUUGUACACACCGCCCGUCGCUCCUACCGAUUGAAUGAUCCGGUGAAAUGUUUGGAUCGCGGCGACGUGGGCGGUUCUCUGCCCGCGACGUCGCGAGAAGUCCAUUGAACCUUAUUAUUUAGAGGAAGGAUAAGUCGUAACAAGGUUUCCAUAGGUGAACCUGCGAAAG